GGGGAAUAUUGCACAAUGGAGGAAACUCUGAUGCAGCGACGCCGCGUGAGCGAAGAAGGCCUUCGGGUCGUAAAGCUCUGUCCUAUGGGACGAUAAUGACGGUACCAUAGGAGGAAGCCCCGGCUAACUACGUGCCAGCAGCCGCGGUAAUACGUAGGGGGCGAGCGUUGUCCGGAAUGACUGGGCGUAAAGGGUACGUAGGCGGCUAGAUAAGUCAGAUGUGAAAGGCAUGGGCUCAACCUGUGUUAGCAUUUGAAACUGUUUAGCUUGAGUUAAGGAGAGGAAAGUGGAAUUCCUGGUGUAGCGGUGAAAUGCGUAGAUACCAGGAGGAAUACCAGUGGCGAAGGCGACUUUCUGGACUUAUACUGACGCUGAGGUACGAAAGCGUGGGGAGCGAAC
rnacentral:rRNA from 1 species